rnacentral:rRNA from 1 species
UCCGUCGGGUGCAAGCGUUAAUCGGAAUUACUGGGCGUAAAGCGUGCGCAGGCGGUUAUGUAAGACAGGUGUGAAAUCCCCGGGCUUAACCUGGGAACUGCAUUUGUGACUGCAUAGCUAGAGUACGGUAGAGGGGGAUGGAAUUCCGCGUGUAGCAGUGAAAUGCGUAGAUAUGCGGAGGAACACCGAUGGCGAAGGCAAUCCCCUGGACCUGUACUGACGCUCAUGCACGAAAGCGUGGGGAGCAAACAGG